rnacentral:rRNA from 1 species
UACAGAGGGGGCAAGCGUUAUUCGGAAUUAUUGGGCGUAAAGAGCUCGUAGGCGGUGUGUCGCGUCGGCCGUGAAAACCUGCAGCUUAACUGUGGGCUUGCGGUCGAUACGGGCAUCACUGGAGUUCGGCAGGGGAGACUGGAAUUCCUGGUGUAGCGGUGAAAUGCGCAGAUAUCAGGAGGAACACCGGUGGCGAAGGCGGGUCUCUGGGCCGAUACUGACGCUGAGGAGCGAAAGCGUGGGGAGCGAACAGG